rnacentral:tRNA from 1 species
GGUUCCAUAGUGUAGCAGUUAGCAUGUCUGCUUUACACACAGAAGGUCUUGGGUUCACGUCCCAGUGGAGCCA